rnacentral:rRNA from 1 species
GAUGAACGCUGGCGGCGUGCCUAAUACAUGCAAGUCGAGCGAACAGACGAGGAGCUUGCUCCUUUGACGUUAGCGGCGGACGGGUGAGUAACACGUGGGUAACCUACCUAUAAGACUGGGAUAACUUCGGGAAACCGGAGCUAAUACCGGAUAAUAUUUCGAACCGCAUGGUUCGAUAGUGAAAGAUGGCUCUGCUAUCACUUAUAGAUGGACCUGCGCCGUAUUAGCUAGUUGGUAAGGUAACGGCUUACCAAGGCAACGAUACGUAGCCGACCUGAGAGGGGGAUCGGCCACACUGGAACUGAGACACGGUCCAGACCCCUACGGGAGGCAGCAGUAGGGAAUCUUCCGCAAUGGGCGAAAGCCUGACGGAGCAACGCCGCGUGAGUGAUGAAGGUCUUCGGAUCGUAAAACUCUGUUAUUAGGGAAGAACAAACGUGUAAGUAACUGUGCACGUCUUGACGGUACCUAAUCAGAAAGCCACGGCUAACUACGUG